UACGUAGGGGGCAAGCGUUGUCCGGAAUCAUUGGGCGUAAAGAGCGCGUAGGCGGCCCCGUAAGUCCGCUGUGAAAGUCAAGGGCUCAACCCUUGAAUGCCGGUGGAUACUGCAGGGCUAGAGUCCGGAAGAGGCGAGUGGAAUUCCUGGUGUAGCGGUGAAAUGCGCAGAUAUCAGGAGGAACACCGAUGGCGAAGGCAGCUCGCUGGGACGGUACUGACGCUGAGGCGCGAAAGCGUGGGGAGCGAACAGG
rnacentral:rRNA from 1 species